CAUCUCGCAACUUCAGUCCCGUCGUGACCACGAUCCACGCAACUGGGUCGAAAUAUCGACAUUAAAAAUCUCGUCGUUUUAUCGUGAAAAUAGUGGUAUAAGCGUUUGCAAAAGAACCUCCUCCUUUUUGAAGUCGGUUAAAAAGAGAUAUAGCUAAUGUGGAGCUGAGGGCGCGUGGCAUCGGCGUCGCAUCCGUGGUGGAGUAGCACCUGAAAUUAUAGGGCUCGUGGUAGAGGUGUGUGGUCGGCGGCGCAGGCGGCGGCGGGGGCGGCACGAGCGGCGCGGCGAGCGGAGCGGGCGGCGCGCCGGGCGAGGUGCCGUCGGUGGAGUAGCCCGUGCUGUAGGCGCUCUCGGGGGACGACAGGGGCGCACGCUGGGAUGCAAUUAGAGGAUGCAAGCGCGUGGGAUGUGGACGCAUGCCGACGCUAGGCGGCGACACGCGGCGGCCGCCGGCUGAGUACUGCCGGUAGCGUCGGGCUCACGCACGCGCGUCGCCGCCCG